GGGGGCCCCAAUUCCUGCCUCUCCUCCCAUGAGCACCUUGAAGGAACUUCAGGACCUCUGACUCCAAGUACAAGGUGUAGUCACCAUCCACUCCUAUUCCUUAUGGAGUCUCUCUCCUAGCCUGUAGCAGUGGUUUCAAAUACAAAACAUGUAUCCUCCUCUCUUCCUGGAUGGAUGUGGUUAUUCCUGGUGGGAAGAUCCCCAGUCUUCAAGUCUUCUCAACUAGCUCUUUGUGGAACAGAGCCACCAGGUUCCAGAUGCCAUCAUGAUGCCAACCAAACUUCUAGACAGACGACCUCACCAAUGUGUCCUGGAGCUCAGCUUCCCCAGAGCCCCACCCUACUAGGGAAAGAGAGAGGCAGGUUGGGAGUAUGGAUCGACCAGUCAACUCCAUGUUCAUCGGGGAAGCAAUUACAGAAGCCAGACCUUCCACCUUCUGCAUCCCACAACGACCUUGGGUCCAUACUCCCAGAUAGAUAAAGAAUAGGAAAGCUAUCGGGGAAGGGAUAGGAUAUGGAGAUCUGGUGGUGGGAAUUGUGCAGAGUUGUACCCCUCUUG